UGCCAGCCGCCGCGGUAACACGGGGGGCGCAAGCGUUAUUCGGAAUUAUUGGGCGUAAAGGGCGCGUAGGUGGUUGUAUGAGUUAGUUGUGAAAUCCCUGGGCUUAACCUGGGCAUUGCAACUAAGACUGUACAACUCGAGUAUGGGAGAGGGCAGUGGAAUUUCCGGUGUAGCGGUGAAAUGCGUAGAGAUCGGAAGGAACACCAGUGGCGAAGGCGGCUGCCUGGCCCAAUACUGACACUGAGGCACGAAAGCGUGGGUAGCAAACAGGAUUAGAUA
rnacentral:rRNA from 1 species